rnacentral:sRNA from 1 species
UUGCAGGGAGGAUCAAAUCUGUGAAGGAUCCAUCAUUGAGUCAGGUAUCAGAAUGCUGUGUUGUAUCCAGUCUUCCACCACAGCUUUUAGUGCUGAGGCUGCAUGGCUCUGUGAUGACUCAUUCAGGGAUGGUGAUUUAUUAUCAGAUUCACCAAGAUUGAUCCACUCAUGGUUGCUUAUUCCUUGUUUCCAUGGGGGAUAGCCAUCACUUCAAAGCCAGCCAAAGAUACGUUGUGUAGCAUUUUCUGAUGCUGAUUCUUUCUCAAGAUUCAGAGAUUUAUAUUUGAUGAGUGUAUUUAUUGCUAGGUGUUGGGU